UGGGGAAUUUUGGACAAUGGGCGAAAGCCUGAUCCAGCAAUGCCGCGUGUGUGAAGAAGGCCUUCGGGUUGUAAAGCACUUUUGUCCGGAAAGAAAUCCUUGGCUCUAAUACAGUCGGGGGAAUGACGGUACCGGAAGAAUAAGCACCGGCUAACUACGUGCCAGCAGCCGCGGUAAUACGUAGGGUGCAAGCGUUAAUCGGAAUUACUGGGCGUAAAGCGUGCGCAGGCGGUUUGCUAAGACCGAUGUGAAAUCCCCGGGCUCAACCUGGGAACUGCAUUGGUGACUGGCAGGCUAGAGUAUGGCAGAGGGGGGUAGAAUUCCACGUGUAGCAGUGAAAUGCGUAGAGAUGUGGAGGAAUACCGAUGGCGAAGGCAGCCCCCUGGGCCAAUACUGACGCUCAUGCACGAAAGCGUGGGGAGCAAACAGGAUUAGAUACCCUGGUAGUCCACGCCCUAAACGAUGUCAACUAGUUGUUGGGGAUUCAUUCCUUAGUAACGUAGCUAACGCGUGAAGUUGACCGCCUGGGGAGUACGGUCGCAAGAUUAAAACUUCAAAUGAAUUGACGGGGUCAUAGCUGUUUCCU
rnacentral:rRNA from 1 species